GCUGCCCACCUCAGGAUGGGCAGGAAGCAGAGAAGAGAUAUUUGAAAGGGAAGGAGGCAAUAUAUGUCAUCCCUCAAAGGCCUAUCUCUAAUGAUCUACUUCUUCCUAGUGGGCCUUACUUCCUGAUGUCUCUGCCAUCACACCAUAAAGCUGUCAAUUAGGAAUCUAUCAACAGGUAAACUCUGUGGUGGAGCCGAAGCCCUCACGGACCCAGUCACUUCCCAGUGAUUGCAUCUACCAGCUUGGGAUCAGAUUUCCCCAUAGGAGCCUUUGGGAGACAUUCGUAUCGAUAUCAUAACAGACACCAGCCACUGCUCCAGUCAUCUGGCCAGGGGACUCCAACCUUAAUUGAUAGACUGUCCAAACGGUGCAGAAAGAACCACUGGGGCCCAUCCCAGAGGGAUCUUGGGCACUCGUGCCUGUUUGUUAGUUUGUCUGAGGCAAGGUCUCACAUAUUCCAGGGAAGCCCUCAGUUUGCUAAGUGGUCAAAGACGACUUUGAACUUCUGUCCCUCCUUCCUGCUUCCACUCUCAUGGUGCUGGGAUUGCGGACAUGCUCUGUUACUGUGGUUCUGGGGAUUGAAGCCAGGGCUUCAUGUGGGCUAGGUAGGCCCUCUUCCAGCUGAGCUGCAUCCUACCCAGUGUUUUCCUCUUACUGUUUCCAAGACCCAAGAGAUCAGAGCAGAUUUUUGUUUUUCUUUUUGAGACUGGGUUUCUCUAUGCUACCUUGGAAUUCACCAUGUAGACCAGGCUGGCCUUGAACUCAUAGAGAUCUGCCUCUUAGCAGCAAGCCUCCAGGAUCCUGUGUUUCCUCCUUAUUCAGUGCUGGGGUCACAGGUACAUUCCACUACACCUGGCUUUUAUGUAGGUUCUGGGGACCUGAUUUCAGGUCUUCAUGCUUGUCCAAUAAACACUACACACUAAGCAAUCUCCCUUAGUCCACCACAGAUUGUGUGUGUGUGUGUGUGUGUGUGUGUGUGUGUGUGUGUGUGUGUGUGUGUGUGUGUAGGUGCUGUAGGAAGCCAGACCUGCUACAUCCCCUGGAUCUGGAGUUUCAGGUAACUGUGAGCCCCCUGAUGUGUGUGGGUGCUGGGAACGAAACCCAGGACCUCUACGAGAGGAACACAUGCUCUUAACCACUGAGCCAUCCCUCCAGGCUCUUUACAAGGAAAUGUUUUUGAUUUGGGUUAUUAUUCAUGAUGUUUAUGUGGGUGUGAAGCUGGGAGUUGAACCCAGGACCUUGAUAAAAAUUCACAUGGCUCUUUAAGUUCUCUCCCUAUGCCCUUUCCUUGGUGGGGGAGGAUACCUAGUGCUUUUGUGAGAUUUGUGGGAGCUGGUUCAUGAAGUAACUGUGUUAAUCCCAUGCCUCAUGUGUUGGUACCAUUUAUUUCUCUCCACGUAUUGCUUAUCUUUAAAUUCAUUUUGAUUUUAAAAUUUAAAAUGAUUAUUUAUUUUAUGUACACCAUUGCUCUUUUCAGACACACCAGAAGAGGGCAUCACACCCCAUUGCAGAUGGUUGUGAGCUACCAAGUGGUUGCUGAGAAUUGAACUCAGGACCUCUGAAAGAGCAGUCAGUGCUCUUAAUCACUGAGCCAUCUCUCCAGCCCUCGUUUUGAUUUUAAAGUAAUUGUAGAUAAUAUGAUUUUUCAUGUCAGGAAUGUAUAACCAUUGCACUGUGGGUGAAUGUUUAUGAAUUCUGUAAUUAUCUCCUGGUUAGCAAAAAUAGAAAAAAUUAAUUUUAACUUUGUUUUUGUAUAAAAAGGGCCUAUUUUAGUCAUCUGUAGUUUCACACACACUUGGAUAUAUGAGACUUUUGUCUAUAUAAUGAAGUGAAACAAAAUUAAAUCCAACUAAAAAUACAGAUAUUUGAAAU
rnacentral:lncRNA from 1 species